UCCCUGGAGGACUAGUGGUUAGGCCACCUUGCUCUUACCGCUGUGGCCUGGGUUUGAUUCCUGCCCAGGAAC